UACGGAGGAUGCGAGCGUUAUCCGGAUUUAUUGGGUUUAAAGGGUGCGUAGGCGGGCUUUUAAGUCAGCGGUAAAAAUUCAGGGCUCAACCCCGUCCGGCCGUUGAAACUGGGGGUCUUGAGUGGGCGAGAAGAAGGCGGAAUGCGUGGUGUAGCGGUGAAAUGCAUAGAUAUCACGCAGAACCCCGAUUGCGAAGGCAGCCUUCCGGCGCCCUACUGACGCUGAGGCACGAAAGUGCGGGGAUCGAACAGG
rnacentral:rRNA from 1 species